rnacentral:rRNA from 1 species
GACAGAGGUGCCGAGCGUUAGGCGGAAUCACUGGGCUUAAAGCGUGUGUAGGCGGAUCCGUAAGUACCUUGUGAAAUCCCACGGCUCAACCGUGGAACUGCUCGGUAUACUGCGGGUCUUGAGCCACUUAGGGGCAACCGGAACAAACGGUGGAGCGGUGAAAUGCGUAGAUAUCGCUUGGAACGCCGAAGGUGAAAACAGGCUGCUGGGGUUGCGCCGACGCUGAGACACGAAAGCCAGGGGAGCAAACGGG